UAGGGAAUCUUCGGCAAUGGACGAAAGUCUGACCGAGCAACGCCGCGUGAGUGAAGAAGGUUUUCGGAUCGUAAAACUCUGUUGUUAGAGAAGAACAAGGACGUUAGUAACUGAACGUCCCCUGACGGUAUCUAACCAGAAAGCCACGGCUAACUACGUGCCAGCAGCCGCGGUAAUACGUAGGUGUCAAGCGUUGUCCGGAUUUAUUGGGCGUAAAGCGAGAGCAGGCGGUUUCUUAAGUCUGAUGUGAAAGCCCCCAGCCCAGCAGGGGAGGGUACUUGGAAACUGGGAGACUUGAGUGCAGUAGAGGAGAGUGGAAUUCCAUGUGUAGCGGUGAAAUGCGUAGAUAUAUGUAGGAAAUACAGUGGCGAAGGCGGCUCUCUGGUCUGUAACUGACGCUGAGGCUCGAAAGCGUGGGGAGCAAACAGG
rnacentral:rRNA from 1 species